rnacentral:rRNA from 1 species
AGACGGAGGGUGCAAGCGUUAAUCGGAAUUACUGGGCGUAAAGCGCUCGUAGGCGGCUUGUUAAGUCGGAUGUGAAAGCCCCGGGCUCAACCUGGGAACUGCAUUCGAUACUGGCAGGCUAGAGUAUAGUAGAGGCAAGUGGAAUUCCGGGUGUAGCGGUGAAAUGCGUAGAUAUCCGGAGGAACAUCAGUGGCGAAGGCGACUUGCUGGACUAAUACUGACGCUGAGGAGCGAAAGCGUGGGGAGCAAACGGGAGUAGAAACCCCGGUAGUCC